rnacentral:rRNA from 1 species
ACGGGAGGCAGCAGUGGGGAAUCUUGCGCAAUGGGCGAAAGCCUGACGCAGCGACGCCGCGUGCGGGAAGAAGGCCUUCGGGUUGUAAACCGCUUUCAGGAGGGACGAAGCCACUCGGGUUAAUAGCCCAGAGGGUGACGGUACCUCCAGAAGAAGCCCCGGCUAACUACGUGCCAGCAGCCGCGGUAAUACGUAGGGGGCUAGCGUUGUCCGGAUUUAUUGGGCGUAAAGCGCGUGUAGGCGGCCAGGCAGGUCUGGUGUGAAAACUCGAGGCUCAACCUCGAGAGGUCAUCGGAAACCGCUUGGCUAGAGUCCGGAAGAGGAGAGUGGAAUUCCCGGUGUAGCGGUGAAAUGCGCAGAUAUCGGGAAGAACACCUAUGGCGAAGGCAGCUCUCUGGGACGGUACUGACGCUGAGACGCGAAAGCGUGGGGAGCGAACAGGAUUAGAUACCCUGGUA